CCUGAAGUAGUUCAGCGGUAGAACGCCCGGCUCGGCCCGGGUCGGCGCAGGUUCGAAUCCUGCCUUCAGGU
rnacentral:tRNA from 1 species